CUGCAAUAGCGAUAGUAGCGGUUAUCCUUUUCCCGGGCUGGGAAGGGCGGGCGGAAAAGAUAUGAGCGGAUAGCGCGACCCGUG
rnacentral:sRNA from 1 species